rnacentral:rRNA from 1 species
UACGUAGGCAGCGAGCGUUGUUCGGAGUUACUGGGCGUAAAGCGUGCGUAGGCGGUGUCUUAAGUUUGUUGUGAAAUCUCCCGGCUUAACCGGGAGGGUGCGGCGAAUACUGAGAUGCUGGAGUGCCGGAGAGGUAAGCGGAAUUCCUGGUGUAGCGGUGAAAUGCGUAGAUAUCAGGAGGAACAUCUGCGGUGUAGACGGCUUACUGGACGGUAACUGACGCUGAGGCACGAAAGCGUGGGUAGCAAACAGG